UGGGGAAUUUUGGACAAUGGGGGAAACCCUGAUCCAGCCAUCCCGCGUGUGCGAUGAAGGCCUUCGGGUUGUAAAGCACUUUUGGCAGGAAAGAAACGUCGCGGGUUAAUACCCCGCGAAACUGACGGUACCUGCAGAAUAAGCACCGGCUAACUACGUGCCAGCAGCCGCGGUAAUACGUAGGGUGCAAGCGUUAAUCGGAAUUACUGGGCGUAAAGCGUGCGCAGGCGGUUCGGAAAGAAAGAUGUGAAAUCCCAGAGCUUAACUUUGGAACUGCAUUUUUAACUACCGGGCUAGAGCGUGUCAGAGGGAGGUGGAAUUCCGCGUGUAGCAGUGAAAUGCGUAGAUAUGCGGAGGAACACC
rnacentral:rRNA from 1 species